rnacentral:rRNA from 1 species
AGUGAACGCUGGCGGUAGGCCUAGCACAUGCAAGUCGAACGGCAGCACAGUAAGAGCUUGCUCUUACGGGUGGCGAGUGGCGGACGGGUGAGGAAUACAUCAGAAUCUACUUUUUCGUGGGGGAUAACGUAGGGAAACUUACUCUAAUACCGCAUACGACCUACGGGUGAAAGCAGGGGAUCUUCGGACCUUGCGCGAUUGAAUGAGCCGAUGUCGGAUUAGCUAGUUGGCGGGGUAAAGGCCCACCAAGGCGACGAUCCGUAGCUGGUCUGAGAGGACGAUCAGCCACACUGGAACUGAGACACGGUCCAGACUCCUACGGGAGGCAGCAGUGGGGAAUAUUGGACAAUGGGCGCAAGCCUGAUCCAGCCAUACCGCGUGGGUGAAGAAGGCCUUCGGGUUGUAAAGCCCUUUUGUUGGGAAAGAAAAGCAGCAGGUUAAUACCCCGCUGUUCUGACGGUACCCAAAGAAUAAGCACCGGCUAACUUCGUG